GCUUAUUUGCAUUUACCAGUACGCAUGCGCGGAAUUUCCUUAGCAACGAAAAAAGUGAGAUAAACAAGUCGCGUUCGACAGGGCAGCGUGUGUCCAGGUUCAAUGUUCAAGUGUCGAGAUUUUUAGCCUCUACACGGCGUUAACGGCAGCUACCCGCCUGGAUCUGAUGUUCCAACGAUGUCCUAAACCUUGUGUACCUGAAACACCGUGUUCAGUUUCGCUUCAGAGGAAUUUACGGUGCCGGGGUUCAACAUGAGGCUGUGUGCAGUGGUCGGCUGCGGUAAUGGAACAUAUCAACCAAGGCGGUUUCAACCUUCUUGUAUCAACUUUAAAAAAAGGAAGUCAGGGACAUGUCCAAAUAAAAACAUCGAACAAAAAAAAGGAUUUUGAUGAUGCAACUGUCCCCAACCUUUCCAGCUAUGCAUUUCCCACUGACAAGAAAGACCCGUGGCCGGACAAAACUGUUCUUGCUCACAGAUUGCCAACACUUGGGUUCGCUUCCUGUCUGUUACACUACAACCACUGAUAGCAUGGCCAAGUAGAGCUGCAAUUUCCAAGACCUUGCCACCACAGUUCAAGAAACAAUGUAGUAGAAUAAGAUGCAUAAUUGAUUGUACAGAAAUAUUUAUUGAGAGACCUAGGUCUUUAGACUUACAAGCCUCCACAUGGUUUGACUAUAAAAACACAAUACUUUAAAGCCGUUUGUAGGGAUCACACCAAAUGGACACAUCUCCUUUCUUUCAAAGACCUAUGGCAGAAGAGCCUCUGAUGUGUUCAUUACCUGGGACUGUGGCUUUUUAGAUUUGGUUGAUCCAAAUGACGUUAUAAAAAUAAUGGCAGAUAGGGGAUUUCCAAUCCAGGAGGACCUGAUGCUGCUGAAUGCAACACUAGAAAUACCACCAGCAGCAUAGGGGAGG